GGAAGUAAAAGUCGUAACAAAGUUUCCGUAGGUGAACCUGCGGAAGGAUCAUUAUUGUAUAACCGAGGUGCGAGGGCUGUCGCUGACCCGAAAGGUCGUGCACGCCCGAGUGCCCUCACACACAUCCAUCUCACCCCUAUGUGCACCACCGCGUGGGUCCCCCUUUGGCUUGUUCGGAGGGGGGCUUACGUUUUCACACAAACUUUGUAUGCAGUGUAGAAUGUAUUUUUUGUUUUUGCGAUCACGCAAUCAAUUCAACUUUCAACAACGGAUCUCUUGGCUCUC
rnacentral:misc_RNA from 1 species